GAUGAACGCUGGCGGCGUGCCUAAUACAUGCAAGUCGAACGAAACUUCUUUAUCACCGAGUGCUUGCACUCACCGAUAAAGAGUUGAGUGGCGAACGGGUGAGUAACACGUGGGCAACCUGCCCAAAAGAGGGGGAUAACACUUGGAAACAGGUGCUAAUACCGCAUAACCAUAGUUACCGCAUGGUAACUAUGUAAAAGGUGGCUAUACUACCGCUUUUGGAUGGGCCCGCGGCGCAUUAGCUAGUUGGUAGGGUAAAGGCUUACCAAGGCAAUGAUGCGUAGCCGAAUUGAGAGGUUGAUCGGCCACAUUGGGACUGAGACACGGCCCAAACUCCUACGGGAGGCAGCAGUAGGGAAUCUGCCACAAUGGGCGAAAGCCUGAUGGAGCAACGCCGCGUGGGUGAAGAAGGUCUUCGGAUCGUAAAACCCUGUUGUUAGAGAAGAAAGUGCGUGAGAGUAACUGUUCACGUUUCGACGGUAUCUAGCCAGAAAGCCACGGCUAACUACGUG
rnacentral:rRNA from 1 species